rnacentral:rRNA from 1 species
UACGUAGGGCGCAAGCGUUGUCCGGAAUUAUUGGGCGUAAAGAGCUCGUAGGCGCCUUCUAAGUCGAACGUGAAAUCCCUGGGCUCAACCCAGGAACUGCGUCCGAUACUGGAAGGCUUGAAUCCGGGAGAGGGAUGCGGAAUUCCAGGUGGUAGCGGUGAAAUGCUUAGAUAUGACAUAGAACACCAAUUGCGAAGGCAGCUCGCUACACGAAUAUUGACUCUGAGGCACGAAAGCGUGGGGAUCAAACAGG